rnacentral:tRNA from 1 species
GGAGUGAUAGCUCAGCCGGGAGAGCAUCUGCCUUACAAGCAGGAGGUCGGGGGUUCGAUCCCCUCUCACUCCACCA